CCGAGUUUACAACUCCCAAACCCCUGUGAACAUACCUAUGCGUUGCCUCGGCGGAUCAGCCCGCGCCCCGUAAAAAGGGACGGCCCGCCCGAGGACCCCUAAACUCUGUUUUUAGUGGAACUUCUGAGUAAAACAAACAAAUAAAUCA
rnacentral:misc_RNA from 1 species